CUUCAUUUAUCUAUAAUAUCUACUUUAAUGAUUUUGUUAAGUUUUCUACAGGCAUCUAUCUAUCCAUCUAUCUAUCAUCUAUCUGUCCAUCUAUGUCUCUAUUUAUGAUCUAUCAAUUGUCUUUCUAUCAUCUAUCAAUCAUAUAUCUAUCAUCUAUCAAUUGUCUAUCAAUUGUCCAUCUAUUUAUAAUCUAUCAUCUUUGUAUCUAUCAAUCUGUUAAUCAUCUCUCUCCUAUCAUCCAUCCAUCUAUCUAUCAUCUAUCUGUCCAUCUAUGUCUCUAUGAUGGAUCAAUUCUUUCUAUCAUCUAUUAAUCAUAUAUCUAUCACCUAUCAUUUAUCUAUCAAUUGUCCAUCUAUUUAUCAUCGAUCAUCUUUGUAUCUAUUAAUCUGUUAAUCAUCUCUCUCUCCUAUCAUCUAUCUAUCUAUCUAUCUAUCGCUACCUUCCUACCUACCUAGUUGAUUUGUCUUGGAUUGAGAUAGGCAUGUUAAAUAUUUAUUUAUUUUUUUUAAAGAAACAUGUUUCUGUAUAUUUCUCCUGUCGCCUCUUGCAGUUUGUGCUUCAUGAAGUUGCUGUUAAGCCACAGCCAUCUGAAAUGGGUCCACAGGGAACCAUUUUGAGUCCGCAGUACUUGGUCAAGCCUCAUCCAGCCUCUGUUUUCUGCCGGGCCCUGUCCAGUCGCCGCGAGGUGUUGUGCGCCACCUGGUGGUCGCAUGGCAGACAGCAUUCCUCCAAGUGAGGCUCGGAACCAGCAGGGAAGUUCAAGCGGUGCUCCAGCAUCUGCACCUCAACCCCAGCGCAUCUUUUAGCCAGUGACAAGCCAGGUGCCCCAGAGUCCUGUAUGGCAGUGGGCGCUGAUGAAAACUCCAGGAAUUCCAUAUUGCAUGGAGCUUCUUGGCUCAGGUGUGUUCUCAGAAUCAACUGGGGGCAGUUUUCAAGGAGCCGGCUGGUAGUCCCAGCCCCUCCUCGCCCAGGUCACGAACUACUAAAUAAAGGAUUCCAUGUGACCUCGCUUCUGCA
rnacentral:lncRNA from 13 species